rnacentral:rRNA from 1 species
UACGUAGGGUGCAAGCGUUAAUCGGAAUUACUGGGCGUAAAGCGUGCGCAGGCGGCUUGCAAGACAGAUGUGAAAUCCCCGGGCGUCAACCUGGGAACUGCAUUGUGACUGCAUGGCUGGAGUGCGGCAGAGGGGGAUGGAAUUCCGCGUGUAGCAGUGAAAUGCGUAGAUAUGCGGAGGAACACCGAUGGCGAAGGCAUCCCCUGGGCCUGCACUGACGAUCAUGCGACGAAAGCGUGGGGAGCAAA